rnacentral:rRNA from 1 species
UGUAUAAUGGGUCAGCGACUUAUAUUCUGUAGCAAGGUUAACCGAAUAGGGGAGCCGAAGGGAAACCGAGUCUUAACUGGGCGUUAAGUUGCAGGGUAUAGACCCGAAACCCGGUGAUCUAGCCAUGGGCAGGUUGAAGGUUGGGUAACACUAACUGGAGGACCGAACCGACUAAUGUUGAAAAAUUAGCGGAUGACUUGUGGCUGGGGGUGAAAGGCCAAUCAAACCGGGAGAUAGCUGGUUCUCCCCGAAAGCUAUUUAGGUAGCGCCUCGUGAAUUCAUCUCCGGGGGUAGAGCACUGUUUCGGCAAGGGGGUCAUCCCGACUUACCAACCCGAUGCAAACUGCGAAUACCGGAGAAUGUUAUCACGGGAGACACACGGCGGGUGCUAACGUCCGUCGUGAAGAGGGAAACAACCCAGACCGCCAGCUAAGGUCCCAAAGUCAUGGUUAAGUGGGAAACGAUGUGGGAAGGCCCAGACAGCCAGGAUGUUGGCUUAGAAGCAGCCAUCAUUUAAAGAAAGCGUAAUAGCUCACUGGUCGAGUCGGCCUGCGCGGAAGAUGUAACGGGGCUAAACCAUGCACCGAAGCUGCGGCAGCGACACUGUGUGUUGUUGGGUAGGGGAGCGUUCUGUAAGCCUGUGAAGGUGUACUGUGAGGUAUGCUGGAGGUAUCAGAAGUGCGAAUGCUGACAUAAGUAACGAUAAAGCGGGUGAAAAGCCCGCUCGCCGGAAGACCAAGGGUUCCUGUCCAACGUUAAUCGGGGCAGGGUGAGUCGACCCCUAAGGCGAGGCCGAAAGGCGUAGUCGAUGGGAAACAGGUUAAUAUUCCUGUACUUGGUGUUACUGCGAAGGGGGGACGGAGAAGGCUAUGUUGGCCGGGCGACGGUUGUCCCGGUUUAAGCGUGUAGGCUGGUUUUCCAGGCAAAUCCGGAAAAUCAAGGCUGAGGCGUGAUGACGAGGCACUACGGUGCUGAAGCAACAAAUGCCCUGCUUCCAGGAAAAGCCUCUAAGCAUCAGGUAACAUCAAAUCGUACCCCAAACCGACACAGGUGGUCAGGUAGAGAAUACCAAGGCGCUUGAGAGAACUCGGGUGAAGGAACUAGGCAAAAUGGUGCCGUAACUUCGGGAGAAGGCACGC